rnacentral:rRNA from 1 species
GUUUGAUCCUGGCUCAGGAUGAACGCUGGCGGCGUGCCUAAUACAUGCAAGUCGAACGAGGUGCUUUGUAGCAAUACGAAGUAUCCUAGUGGCGAACGGGUGAGUAACGCGUUGGUGACCUACCCCAAAGUGUGGGAUAACAGUCCGAAAGGAUUGCUAAUACCGCAUGUGGUCUCUGGAUUUAGAAACCGGUGACUAAAGGAGCAAUUCGCUUUGGGAGGGACCUGCGUCCCAUCAGCUAGUUGGUGAGGUAAUGGCUCACCAAGGCGACUACGGGUAGGGGACCUGAGAGGGUGGCCCCCCACAAUGGAACUGAAACACGGUCCAUACACCUACGGGUGGCAGCAGUAGGGAAUAUUGGUCAAUGGGCGAAAGCCUGAACCAGCAACGCCGCGUGUGCGAUGAAGGCCUUCGGGUCGUAAAGCACUUCUCUGGGAGAUGAGAAAGGACAGUAUCCCAGGAAUAAGUCUCGGCUAACUACGUGCCAGCAGCCACGGUAAAACGUAGGAGGCGAGCGUUAUCCGGAUUCACUGGGCGUAAAGCGCGUGCAGGUGGCUUGGUAAGUUUAGGCGUGAAAUCUCCCGGCUCAACUGGGAGAGGUCGUCUAAUACUACCGGGCUUGAGAGCAGAAGAGGAAGAUGGAAUUCCCGGUGUAGUGGUGAAAUGCGUAGAUAUCGGGAGGAACACCAGUGGCGAAGGCGAUCUUCUGGUCUGUUUCUGACACUCAGACGCGACAGCUAGGGUAGUAAACGGGAUUAGAGACCCCGGUAAUCUUAGCCGUAAACGAUUGUAAACUUGGCCGUUGGUGGGUUUAAACUCCAUCAGUGCCCGUAGCAACGCGAUUAAGUUUACCGGCCUGGGGACUACCGGCCGCAGGGUUAAAGCUCAAAGGAAUUGACGGGGGCCCGCACAAGCAGCGGAGCGUGUGGUUUAAUUCGAGGCAACGCGAAAGAACCUUACCUGGGUUUGACAUGUAGGGAAAAGCCGUAG